CUGAAGCCAAUUAAACCAGGUUUCUCUCCUCAUGGGGACCUAGUGUGCAGUGGUUGCCAAGAGCAGCCUCUUUGGGAACAUGUGCAGCCAGGUUACCUAUAUGGGUCGCCCCAAGGGACCUUGCAGACAGUU